AGCAGCCGCGGUAAUUCCAGCUCCAAUAGCGUAUAUUAAAGUUGUUGCAGUUAAAAAGCUCGUAGUUGAAUUUCGGGAUCAAUACGUCGGUCGUGCUUCGGUACGUACUGGCGUUAUUGAUUUCUCCCUUCUGACGAACCAUGAUGUCAUUAACUUGGUGUCUUGGGAAAUCAGGACUGUUACUUUGAAAAAAAUUAGAGUGUUUAAAGCAGGCUCACGCUUGAAUACAUUAGCAUGGAAUAAUGAAAUAGGACGUUUGACCCUAUUUUGUUGGUUUCUAGGAUCGACGUAAUGAUUAAUAGGGAUAGUUGGGGGCAUUAGUAUUCAAUUGUCAGAGGUGAAAUUCUUGGAUUUAUUGAAGACUAACUACUGCGAAAGCAUUUGCCAAGGAUGUUUUCAUUAAUCAAGAACGAAAGUUAGGGGAUCGAAGACGAUCAGAUACCGUCGUAGUCUUAACCAUAAACUAUGCCGACUAGGGAUCAGACGAUGUUAAUUUUUUAAUGACUCGUUUGGCGCCUUA
rnacentral:rRNA from 1 species